rnacentral:rRNA from 1 species
UACGGAGGGUGCGAGCGUUGUCCGGAAUCACUGGGCGUAAAGGGCGCGUAGGCGGCCUGAUAAGUAGGGGGUGAAAUCCUGCGGCUUAACCGCAGGGCUGCCUUCUAAACUGUCAGGCUCGAGCACAGUAGAGGCAGGUGGAAUUCCCGGUGUAGCGGUGGAAUGCGUAGAGAUCGGGAAGAACAUCAGUGGCGAAGGCGGCCUGCGUGGGCUGUUGCUGACGCUGAGGCGCGACAGCGUGGGGAGCGAACAGG